rnacentral:rRNA from 1 species
UACGGAGGGGGCUAGCGUUGUCCGAAGUUACUGGGCGUAAAGCGCGCGUAGGCGGGUUGGUAAGUCCGCUGUGAAAGCCCGGAGCUCAACUCCGGAGGGUCGGUGGAUACUGCCAGUCUUGAAGGUGCUAGGGGGAGAUGGAAUUACCGGUGUAGCGGUGAAAUGCGUAGAUAUCGGUAGGAACACCAGUGGCGAAGGCGGUCUCCUGGGGCAUUCUUGACGCUGAGGCGCGAAAGCUGGGGGGAGCGAACGGG